rnacentral:rRNA from 1 species
UACAGAGGGUGCGAGCGUUAAUCGGAAUUACUGGGCGUAAAGCGCACGUAGUCGGCUUUGCAAGUCGGAUGUGAAAUCCCCGGGCUCAACCUGGGAAUUGCAUUCGAAACUGGAUAGCUAGAGUUCGGCAGAGGGAAGCGGAAUUUCUGGUGUAGCGGUGAAAUGCGUAGAUAUCAGAAGGAACACCAGUGGCGAAGGCGACUACCUGGCCUGUUCUUGACGCUGAGGCGCGAAAGCUAGGGGAGCAAACGGG